rnacentral:rRNA from 1 species
ACUAGCAAUCGCAGAUCAGAAUGCUGCGGUGAAUGCGUUCCCGGGUCUUGUACACACCGCCCGUCACACCACGGAAGUUGGGGGCGCCCGAAGCCACUUAGCUAACCCUUUUGGGAAGCGAGUGUCGAAGGUGGAAUCAAUAACUGGGGUGAAGUCGUAACAAGGUACC